rnacentral:rRNA from 1 species
UACGGGGGGGGCAAGCGUUGUUCGGAAUUACUGGGCGUAAAGGGCUCGUAGGCGGCCAACUAAGUCAGACGUGAAAUCCCUCGGCUUAACCGGGGAACUGCGUCUGAUACUGGAUGGCUUGAAUCCGGGAGAGGGAUGCGGAAUUCCAGGUGUAGAGGUGAAAUUCGUAGAUAUUCGCAAGAACACCAGUGGCGAAGGCGGCUCACUGGCCCGGUACUGACGCUGAGGUGCGAAAGCGUGGGGAGCAAACAGG